rnacentral:tRNA from 1 species
CAGGUUCAACUCCUGCCUCUACCU